UAGCGGCGGACGGGUGAGUAACGCGUGGGUAACCUGCCUUACACUGGGGGAUAACAGUUAGAAAUGACUGCUAAUACCGCAUAAGCGCACAGGGCCGCAUGGUCCGGUGUGAAAAACUCCGGUGGUGUAAGAUGGACCCGCGUCUGAUUAGGUAGUUGGUGGGGUAACGGCCCACCAAGCCGACGAUCAGUAGCCGACCUGAGAGGGUGACCGGCCACAUUGGGACUGAGACACGGCCCAA
rnacentral:rRNA from 1 species